AUAUUGCAUAAAAGGAAAGAAAGUUAGUAGUCCCCUUGGUAAGGAUGGAGAGUUCCUAGUGGACUUUACAAUACAUAUACAAUCUAUUGCCACCUACCUUGGGGCAUCCAAUCAUUUUUUUUG